rnacentral:rRNA from 1 species
AGUUUGAUCCUGGCUCAGGACGAACGCUGGCGGCGUGCCUAAUACAUGCAAGUUGAGCGCUGAAGGUUGGUACUUGUACCAACUGGAUGAGCAGCGAACGGGUGAGUAACGCGUGGGGAAUCUGCCUUUGAGCGGGGGACAACAUUUGGAAACGAAUGCUAAUACCGCAUAAAAACUUUAAACACAAGUUUUAAGUUUGAAAGAUGCAAUUGCAUCACUCAAAGAUGAUCCCGCGUUGUAUUAGCUAGUUGGUGAGGUAAAGGCUCACCAAGGCGAUGAUACAUAGCCGACCUGAGAGGGUGAUCGGCCACAUUGGGACUGAGACACGGCCCAAACUCCUACGGGAGGCAGCAGUAGGGAAUCUUCGGCAAUGGACGAAAGUCUGACCGAGCAACGCCGCGUGAGUGAAGAAGGUUUUCGGAUCGUAAAACUCUGUUGGUAGAGAAGAACGUUGGUGAGAGUGGAAAGCUCAUCAAGUGACGGUAACUACCCAGAAAGGGACGGCUAACUACGUGCCAGCAGCCGCGGUAAUACGUAGGUCCCGAGCGUUGUCCGGAUUUAUUGGGCGUAAAGCGAGCGCAGGUGGUUUAUUAAGUCUGGUGUAAAAGGCAGUGGCUCAACCAUUGUAUGCAUUGGAAACUGGUAGACUUGAGUGCAGGAGAGGAGAGUGGAAUUCCAUGUGUAGCGGUGAAAUGCGUAGAUAUAUGGAGGAACACCGGUGGCGAAAGCGGCUCUCUGGCCUGUAACUGACACUGAGGCUCGAAAGCGUGGGGAGCAAACAGGAUUAGAUACCCUGGUAGUCCAAUCCCGC